rnacentral:rRNA from 2 species
GAAUGAUUUGUCUGGUUAAUUCCGAUAACGAACGUGACUCAAUCAUAUUAAAUAGAUACCUAUCAGCAGUUGAGAUGCCGAUGCUGCGACAUUGAUAGCAAUAUUGGUGUUGUAGUGGAGUUUCACCUGAUAGUUUGUCAUUCAUUCCUCGUGGGUGUUUGACUUGAAUCUGCUUAAUAGGACAAUUUGUGUUUAGCAAAAUGAGAUUGAGCAAUAACAGGUCCGUGAUGCCCUUAGAUGUCCUGGGCUGCACGCGCGCUACAAUGAAGACAUCAACGUGUAUCCUAUACCGAAAGGUACGGGAAAUCACUAAAACGUCUUCUUAGUUGGGAUUAUGGACUGAAACUGUUCAUAUGAACCUGGAAUUCCCAGUAAAUG